AGAGUUUGAUCCUGGCUCAGGACGAACGCUGGCGGCGUGCUUAACACAUGCAAGUCGAACGAAGAGCGAUGGAAGCUUGCUUCUAUCAAUCUUAGUGGCGAACGGGUGAGUAACGCGUAAUCAACCUGCCCUUCAGAGGGGGACAACAGUUGGAAACGACUGCUAAUACCGCAUACGAUCUAAUCUCGGCAUCGAGGAUAGAUGAAAGGUGGCCUCUACAUGUAAGCUAUCACUGAAGGAGGGGAUUGCGUCUGAUUAGCUAGUUGGAGGGGUAACGGCCCACCAAGGCGAUGAUCAGUAGCCGGUCUGAGAGGAUGAACGGCCACAUUGGGACUGAGACACGGCCCAGACUCCUACGGGAGGCAGCAGUGGGGAAUCUUCCGCAAUGGACGAAAGUCUGACGGAGCAACGCCGCGUGAGCGAUGACGGCCUUCGGGUUGUAAAGCUCUGUUAAUCGGGACGAAAGGCCUUCUUGCGAAUAGUGAGAAGGAUUGACGGUACCGGAAUAGAAAGCCC
rnacentral:rRNA from 1 species